rnacentral:tRNA from 1 species
GAAAGAGGCCAAAAAGCAAUAAGAACUGCUAAUUCUUACCCCUGAAGUUAAAACCCUCAGCUCAUUCA